AUUGAACGCUGGCGGAAUGCUUUACACAUGCAAGUCGAACGGCAGCACGGGAGCUUGCUCCUGGUGGCGAGUGGCGAACGGGUGAGUAAUGCGUCGGAACGUACCGAGUAAUGGGGGAUAACGCAGCGAAAGCUGUGCUAAUACCGCAUACGCCCUGAGGGGGAAAGUGGGGGAUCGCAAGACCUCACGUUAUUCGAGCGGCCGACGUCUGAUUAGCUAGUUGGUGGGGUAAAGGCCUACCAAGGCGACGAUCAGUAGCGGGUCUGAGAGGAUGAUCCGCCACACUGGAACUGAGACACGGUCCAGACUCCUACGGGAGGCAGCAGUGGGGAAUUUUGGACAAUGGGGGCAACCCUGAUCCAGCCAUUCCGCGUGAGUGAAGAAGGCCUGGUUGUAAGCUCUUUCAGCUGGAACGAAACGGUACGAAUCCUAA
rnacentral:rRNA from 1 species